GCAUCCAUCAGUAUAUUAUAUCACUCAUUGUCAACCUCUGCUAUAACAACAUCCAUCAGUAGAUACUGUCAUUUGAAUAUUCAUCAUCAUAGCAUCCAUCAGUAGAUGCUUUAAUCUAGUAGCAUCCAUCAGUAAAUGUUGUCAGUAGCAUCCAUCAAUAGAUGUUGUUAGUCACCAUCCUCUUCCAUAGCAGCAUCGAUCAGUAGAUGUUGUAGAAGCAUCCAUCAGUAGAUGUUAUCAUUCAUCAUCCUCAUCAUAGCAACAUCCAUUAGUAGAUGUCAUCUGAGUCCUCCUAGCAUCCAUCAGUAGAUGCUGUCAUCUCUACCAUCAAAGGCAGCAUAUAACCAAAAAACGCUCAAACAUAUAAAGCAAAAUCAAAUCUAC
rnacentral:lncRNA from 1 species